rnacentral:rRNA from 1 species
CAAAAACAUGUCCUUUAGAUUUAAAUUAUUAAUUAAAGGUCUAGCCUGCCCGGUGAAUAACUUAAACGGCCGCAGUAUUUUGACUGUGCGAAGGUAGCAUAAUCAUUUGUCUCUUAAUUGGAGGCUGGUAUGAAUGGUUGGACGAGGAAUUAACUUUCUUUAUUUAAAUUUAGUGAAUUUGAUUUUUUAGUCAAAAAGCUUAAAUGUUUUUGCAAGACGAGAAGACCCUAUAGAAUUUUAUUUAUUUAAUUUAAAAUUUAUUGUUUUGUUAAUGUUGAUUAGAUUUUAUUAUUAUAAAUUUUGUUGGGGCGACAAUGAAAAUUACUUAACUUUCAUUAAUUUUGAUUUUCGUUAAUUAGCGUAUUUUUUGAUCCUUAAUUUAGGAUUAUAAGAUUAAAUUACCUUAGGGAUAACAGCGUAAUUCUUUUGGAGAGUUCAUAUCGAUAAAUGGAGUUUGCGACCUCGAUGUUGGAUUAAAGUAAGUUCUUGGUGCAAUAGCUUAUGGGACUAAGUCUGUUCGACUUUUAAAUCUUUACGUGAUCUGA